UUAAUUGAAACCAAAAUAGAGGUAAAUUAUUGUUAAUAAUUAAAAUGAUCAAAUAAUCCAAUUAAA
rnacentral:tRNA from 1 species